rnacentral:rRNA from 1 species
CCCUUAGAUGUCCUGGGCCGCACGCGCGCUACACUGAGUGUCUGAGAUACGAGUCUGCCUGGUCCGGCAAGGUCUAGGUAAUCGCUAAAAGACACAUCAUGCUUGGGAUAGAUUUUUGCAAAUAUUAAUCUUGAACGAGGAAUUCCUAGUAAGCGCAAGUCAACAGCUUGCGUUGAUUACAUCCCUGCCCUUUGUACACACCGCCCGUCGCUACUACUGAUUGGAUGUUUAAGCGAGGUUCUCGAACUGCUAGCGACUUAGCUUCGGUGAGGUCGCAGUGUGGGAAGUGAACCUAGCUUUGGGGUCUAGAGGAAGUAAAAGUCGUAACA